GACCUACAAACGAACCACUGACUCCUGCAGACGAUCCAGAACCUGGCAACACCACAGCAAUUAUUAUUGGAUGCAUUCUGGCUUUUUUAAUCGUGCUUUCUCUAAUUGCUGUAUUUUGGAAAUACCGAUCUUCCAUGAAAACUGGGUGAGUCAGCCCAAGAGAAGCUCUCCCUGAUUCUCUUUAGCCUUCUUGGUUGCUGAGUGAGCUACCAUAUGCUUCUUGACUUCACUUUACCUUCUACUUUGCUCACACUUUCCGCAUACAUGUGCUUAAUGUUCAGAAAGGGCUUGCACAUUUUUUGUUGGAACAGUUGCACUAAUCUGCUAGCACAGAAUAAAAGCACAGUAAUUUUUCUAGAAUGGCUAUCCCAUUUGGUGUUCU